rnacentral:rRNA from 1 species
GACGAACCGUGCGAACGUUGUUCGGAAUCACUGGGCUUAAAGGGCGCGUAGGCGGGCCUCCCAGUCCGUGGUGAAAGCCCCCGGCUCAACCGGGGAAGUGCUGCGGAUACUGGAGGCCUCGAGGGGUGUAGGGGCAUGCGGAACUUCCGGUGGAGCGGUGAAAUGCGUAGAUAUCAGGAGGAACACCGGUGGCGAAGGCGGGACUCUGGGCCGAUACUGACGCUGAGGAGCGAAAGCGUGGGGAGCAAACAGG